CCCACCCCCACCCCGCGUACCCAUUUCUCCCCCGGGUUUCCUCUCGGUUGCAGCGCCCACAUCGAAACCGGGAACACGUCUGCUUUGUGACGGGCUUGGAGUCACUGCUGCAGAUCCCUACUCGCUCUGGGUGGGGGAGAGCAGAUGACCGGGCUUGGAAUCCCACCUCAGUCCUUACAUGACUCCGUGAAGCUGCGGUGAGCCUCAGUUUUCUCUCCUGUAGAGCGGAGACGCCUGUACCUUCUCAGGCAGGGCGGGGACCAGAUGGAAGCUAGAAAACUUGGGUCACAAGCUUGUGGUGUGGAGUUCACUGGUUGGGGCACCAGGACAGGACUAAGUUGCAGGGGACAAACAUGAGGAAAGAGAACGCACCGCCACCAGUUUCUCAAGGCCCCGAUGAGGUGUGUGUUACUUUUAGUUUUCCUGAUGAAAAAAAUGAAGUUCAAAAAAGUUGUCUAGGGCUUCCCUGGUGGCGCAAUGGUUGGGAGUCCGCCUGCCAAUGCAGGGGACGCGGGUUCGU